UGUUCCUACGGGGGGCAGCAGUGAGGGAUAUUGGUCAAUGGGGGAAACCCUGAACCAGCAACGCCGCGUGAGGGAAGACGGUUUUCGGAUUGUAAACCUCUGUCCUCUGUGAAGAUAAUUACUUUAGCAGAGGAGGAAGCUCCGGCUAACUACGUGCCAGCAGCCGCGGUAAUUCGUAGGGUGCGAGCCUUUUCCGGAUUUACUUGGUGUAAAGGGAUCGCAGACGGUCUGACAUGUC
rnacentral:rRNA from 1 species